rnacentral:rRNA from 1 species
CCGCCAGGGAACUACAAGCGCAAGCUUAAAACCCAAAGGACUUGGCGGUGCUUUACAACCAUCUAGAGGAGCCUGUUCUAAAACCGAUAAUCCCCGUUAAACCUCACCUUCUCUUGCCUUUUCCACCUAUAUACCGCCGUCGUCAGCUUACCCUAUNGAGGCCCUAAAGUGAGCAAAACUAGUAUAACUCAAAACGUCAGGUCGAGGUGUANUUCAUGAGAAAGGAAGAAAUGGGCUACNUUCGUCAAAAGACGAACAACGAAUGAUUAUUUGAAAACAUAAUCUGAAGGAGGAUUUAGUAGUAAGAAGAAAAUAUAUUGUUC